rnacentral:lncRNA from 1 species
AAUGAUCCUGAACACCUACCUACGUCAGACAUAACCCCACCAUGUCCUCGAUCGGAGUAAGAACUCACGAAAGAGACAGUCACGGUUACGCACACAGUUGGCAUGUUUUAAUUAAGUUAACUUCAAGUUUUCUAGAACCAGUGUUAAACAAAGUUUCCACGUUGCCACAUAACCGCGGGCACGGCUUUCCGAAAGAUUUAACCCUGCAGGGGUGCUCCAACUAGUCCAUCACAAAUUACCACAAGCCGCAUAGAAAUCCUCAAU